rnacentral:rRNA from 1 species
UACGGAGGAUGCAAGCGUUAUCCGGAAUCAUUGGGCGUAAAGCGUCCGUAGGUGGCUUUUCAAGUCUGCCGUCAAAGACCGGGGCUUAACCCCAGAAAGGCGGUGGAAACUGAAUAGCUAGAGUGCAGUAGGGGUAGAGGGAAUUCCCGGUGUAGCGGUGAAAUGCGUAGAGAUCGGGAAGAACACCCGUGGCGAAGGCGGCAUGCUGGGUUGCGACUGACGCUGAGUUGCGAAAGUGUGGGGAGCAAACGGG